ACCUCGGAUCAGUAGGUCCCAGUUC
rnacentral:rRNA from 1 species